UACGGAGGAUGCAAGCGUUAUCCGGAUUUAUUGGGUUUAAAGGGUGCGCAGGUUGUUUGAUAAGUCAGUGGUGAAAGUCUGUCGCUUAACGGUAGGAUUGCCAUUGAUACUGUUGGACUUGAAUAUGGAUGAGGUAGGCGGAAGGUGUAGUGUAGCGGUGAAAUGCAUAGAUAUUACACAGAACACCGAUUGCGAAGGCAGCUUACUAAUCCAUCAUUGACGCUGAGGCACGAAAGCGUGGGGAUCAAACAGGA
rnacentral:rRNA from 1 species